rnacentral:rRNA from 1 species
GACGAACGCUGGCGGCGUGCUUAACACAUGCAAGUCGAACGGAAAGGCCCUGCUUUUGUGGGGUGCUCGAGUGGCGAACGGGUGAGUAACACGUGAGUAACCUGCCCUUGACUUUGGGAUAACUUCAGGAAACUGGGGCUAAUACCGGAUAGGAGCUCCUGCUGCAUGGUGGGGGUUGGAAAGUUUCGGCGGUUGGGGAUGGACUCGCGGCUUAUCAGCUUGUUGGUGGGGUAGUGGCUUACCAAGGCUUCGACGGGUAGCCGGCCUGAGAGGGUGACCGGCGACAUUGGGACUGAGAUACGGCCCAGACUCCUACGGGAGGCAGCAGUGGGGAAUAUUGCACAAUGGGCGGAAGCCUGAUGCAGCAACGCCGCGUGCGGGAUGACGGCCUUCGGGUUGUAAACCGCUUUCGCCUGUGACGAAGCGUGAGUGACGGUAAUGGGUAAAGAAGCACCGGCUAACUACGUG